rnacentral:rRNA from 1 species
AGUGAACGCUGGCGGUAGGCCUAACACAUGCAAGUCGAACGGCAGCACAGUAAGAGCUUGCUCUUACGGGUGGCGAGUGGCGGACGGGUGAGGAAUACAUCGGAAUCUACUUUUUCGUGGGGGAAAACGUAGGGAAACUUACGCUAAUACCGCAUACGACCUACGGGUGAAAGCAGGGGAUCUUCGGACCUUGCGCGAUUGAAUGAGCCGAUGUCGGAUUAGCUAGUUGGCGGGGUAAAGGCCCACCAAGGCGACGAUCCGUAGCUGGUCUGAGAGGAUGAUCAGCCACACGGAAACUGAGACACCGUCCAGAAUCCUACGAGAGGCAGCAGUGGGGAAUAUUGGACAAUGGGCGAAAUCCUGAUCCAGCCAUACCGCGUGGGUGAAGAAGGCCUUCGGGUUGUAAAGCCCUUUUGUUGGGAAAGAAAAGCAGCAGGUUAAUACCCCGCUGUUCUGACGGUACCCAAAGAAUAAGCACCGGCUAACUUCGU